UGGGCGACCUGCCCUCAGCUCUGGGAUAAGCCUGGGAAACUGGGUCUAAUACCGGAUAUUCACUACUCAUCGCAUGGUGGGUGGUGGAAAGUUUUUCGGCUGGGGAUGGGCCCGCGGCCCAUCAGCUUGUUGGUGGGGUGAUGGCCUACCAAGGCGACGACGGGUAGCCGGCCUGAGAGGGCGACCGGCCACACUGGGACUGAGACACGGCCCAGACUCCUACGGGAG
rnacentral:rRNA from 1 species